UACGUAGGGCGCAAGCGUUAUCCGGAAUUAUUGGGCGUAAAGAGCUCGUAGGCGGUUUGUCGCGUCUGCCGUGAAAGUCCGGGGCUCAACCCCGGAUCUGCGGUGGGUACGGGCAGACUUGAGUGCAGUAGGGGAGACUGGAAUUCCUGGUGUAGCGGUGAAAUGCGCAGAUAUCAGGAGGAACACCGGUGGCGAAGGCGGGUCUCUGGGCCGAUACUGACGCUGAGGAGCGAAAGCGUGGGGAGCAAACAGG
rnacentral:rRNA from 1 species